GUGAAUCAUCAAAUUUUUGAACGCAAAUUGCACUCUCUUCUGAGGUUAUGCCUGUUUGAGGUUCAGCCUCAAUACAAUCCACAUAGUCGCUGUUUCGCUGUGACAUUCGUCGGCAAUCGGUUCCUAUUACACCUUUGGGUUUUAAGCGGCUUACAUUUUUCUUUACUAUUCUACCUACGUUUUUAAGAUUUACUUACCCGCUU
rnacentral:misc_RNA from 1 species